AGAGUUUGAUCCUGGCUCAGAACGAACGCUGGCGGCGUGCUUAAGACAUGCAAGUCGAACGGUAAGGCACCUUCGGGUGUACACGAGUGGCGCACGGGUGAGUAACGCGUGGGUAAUCUGCCUUCGGGUUUGGAACAACUUCGGGAAACUGGAGCUAAUACCAAAUAAGACCACGAGGUCAUUGGCCUUGCGGACAAAGGUGGCCUCUUCUUGAAAGCUACCGCCUGUUGAUGAGCCCGCGUCCCAUUAGCUUGUUGGUGAGGUAAAGGCUCACCAAGGCUUCGAUGGGUAGCUGGUCUGAGAGGAUGGUCAGCCACACUGGAACUGAGACACGGUCCAGACUCCUACGGGAGGCAGCAGUCGGGAAUCUUGCACAAUGGGCGAAAGCCUGAUGCAGCAACGCCGCGUGAGGGAUGAAGGCCCUCGGGUCGUAAACCUCUGUCGGGAGGGAAGAAAGGGCUUCGGACCAAUACUCCGGAGCACUGACGGUACCUCCAAAGGAAGUGCCGGCUAACUCCGUGCCAGCAGCCGCGGUAAUACGGAGGGCACAAGCGUUGUUCGGAAUUAUUGGGCGUAAAGCGCGUGUAGGCGGCUGGGUAAGUCGGGCGUGAAAGUCCGGGGCUCAACCCCGGAAUUGCAUUCGAAACUACCUCGCUAGAGUCUCGGAGAGGGAGGCGGAAUUCCCGGUGUAGAGGUGAA
rnacentral:rRNA from 1 species